CAGGAUGAACGCUAGCGGCAGGCCUAACACAUGCAAGUCGAGGGGUAAGUCCCGACUUUGUCGGGAACACGACCGGCGAACGGGUGAGUAACGCGUUUGCAACCUACCCUUAACUGGAAGAUAGCUCCCGGAAACGGGAAUUAAUACUCCAUAAUAUUCAGACAGGGCAUCCUGUCUGAAUCAAAGCUCCGGCGGUUAAGGAUGGGCAUGCGUGACAUUAGCUUGUUGGUGAGGUAACGGCUCACCAAGGCUGCGAUGUCUAGGGGGUCUGAGAGGAUGAUCCCCCACACUGGUACUGAGACACGGACCAGACUUCUACGGAAGGCAGCAGUGAGGAAUAUUGGGCAAUGGACGAAAGUCUGACCCAGCCAUGCCGCGUGCAGGAUGACGGCCCUAUGGGUUGUAAACUGCUUUUUUACAAGAAGAAAAGUCCCGACGUGUCGGGAUUUGACGGUAUUGUAAGAAUAAGCAUCGGCUAACUCCGUGCCAGCAGCCGCGGUAAUACGGAGGAUGCAAGCGUUAUCCGGAUUCAUUGGGUUUAAAGGGUGUGUAGGCGGGACAGUAAGUCAGUGGUGAAAUCUUUCGGCUUAACCGGAAAACUGCCAUUGAUACUGUUGUCCUUGAGUAUAGUUGAGGUGGGCGGAAUGUGUAAUGUAGCGGUGAAAUGCUUAGAUAUUACCCAGAACACCGAUUGCGAAAGCAGCUCACUGAACUAAUACUGACGCUGAGGCACGAAAGCGUGGGGAGCGAACAGGAUUAGAUACCCUGGUAGUCCACGCUGUAAACUAUGAAUACUCGAUGUGUGCGAUACACUGUACGCGUCUGAGCGAAAGCAUUAAGUAUUCCACCUGGGGAGUACGGUCGCAAGAUUGAAACUCAAAGGAAUUGACGGGGGCCCGCACAAGCGGAGGAACAUGUGGUUUAAUUCGAUGAUACGCGAGGAACCUUACCUGGGCUUAAAUGCAGAACGAUGUUCCGGGAAACUGGAAUUCCCUUCGGGGCGGACUGCAAGGUGCUGCAUGGCUGUCGUCAGCUCGUGCCGUGAGGUGUCGGGUUAAGUCCCAUAACGAGCGCAACCCCUAUCGUUAGUUGCCAGCGGGUAAUGCCGGGGACUCUAACGAAACUGCCAGUGUAAACUGUGAGGAAGGUGGGGAUGACGUCAAGUCAGCACGGCCCUUAUGUCCAGGGCUACACACGUGUUACAAUGGCCAGUACAGAGGGCAGCUACCAGGCGACUGGAUGCAAAUCUCGAAAACUGGUCUUAGUUCGGAUCGGAGUCUGCAACUCGACUUCGUGAAGGUGGAUUCGCUAGUAAUCGCGCAUCAGCCACGGCGCGGUGAAUACGUUCCCGGGCCUUGUACACACCGCCCGUCAAGCCAUGGAAGCUGGGGGUACCUAAAGUCUGUAACC
rnacentral:rRNA from 1 species